rnacentral:rRNA from 1 species
GACAGAGGGUGCAAACGUUGCUCGGAAUUACUGGGCGUAAAGCGCGUGUAGGCGGGUCGGAAAGUCGGGCGUGAAAUCCCCCAGGCUCAACCUGGGAACUGCACUCGAAACUUCCGGCCUUGAGUGGUGGAGAGGGAAGUGGAAUUCCUGGUGUAGAGGUGAAAUUCGUAGAUAUCAGGAGGAACACCAGUGGCCGAAGGCGGUUGC